rnacentral:lncRNA from 1 species
UCACUUAAUACACCUUAAGUUUUGAAUCAAAAUUCCUUGAUUUUUGUGCUACCACAUCAGAAUCAUACAUGCUCCAAACCCGAAACAAUCCCUGAUUCUUUUCUUUGCUAAAACAUUUCAACCUUAAACACCUCUUGUACCGCUGUUACUCCUAACAUAACACGCCACCCAACAAUUCCGCUGGACAGACUUUCGACACAACCUUGAUUCAACCAUCAUAUUCUAACAGAAUAGAACUAGCACAAAAAUUUCUCUUGAAUCAAUCUGCAAGAAACUUCCAAGUUACUCAUGCUCCAUUUUCUUGAACCAUGCCUGACUUAUCAAGACCAGUUUGAGUACCCUGCCCUUGAACAUCACUUUACACUGUUUUGACCAAGAGAGCAUGCCUC